GAUGAACGCUGGCGGCGUGCCUAAUACAUGCAAGUCGAGCGAACAGACGAGGACUUUGCUCCUCUGACGUUAGCCGCGGACGGGUGAGUAACACGUGGAUAACCUACCUAUAAGACUGUGAUCACUUCGGGACACCGGUGCUACUACCUGAUAAUAUCUUGAACCGCAUGGUUCAAUAGUGAAAGACGGUUUUGCUGUCACUUAUAGAUGGAUCCGCGCCGCAUUAGCUAGUUGGUAAGGUAACGGCUUACCAAGGCAACGAUGAGUAGCCGAUCUGAGAGGAUGAUCGGCCACACUGGAACUGAGACACGGUCCAGACUCCUACGGGAGGCAGCAGUAGGGAAUCUUGGACAAUGGGCGAAAGCCUGACGGAGCAACGCCGCGUGAGUGAUGAAGGUCUUCGGGUCGUAAAGCACUGUUAUUAGGGAAGAACAAAUGUGUAAGAAAACAGGCACGUCUUGACGGUACCGAAUCAGAAAGCAACGGCUAACUACGUG
rnacentral:rRNA from 1 species